rnacentral:rRNA from 1 species
AGUGAACGCUGGCGGUAGGCCUAACACAUGCAAGUCGAACGGCAGCACAGUAAGAGCUUGCUCUUACGGGUGGCGAGUGGCGGACGGGUGAGGAAUACAUCGGAAUCUACUUUUUCGUGGGGGAUAACGUAGGGAAACUUACGCUAAUACCGCAUACGACCUACGGGUGAAAGCAGGGGAUCUUCGGACCUUGCGCGAUUGAAUGAGCCGAUGUCGGAUUAGCUAGUUGGCGGGGUAAAGGCCCACCAAGGCGACGAUCCGUAGCUGGUCUGAGAGGAUGAUCGGCCACACUGGAACGGGGACACGGUCAAGACUCCUACGGGAGGCAGCAGUGGGGAAUAUUGGACAAUGGGCGCAAGCCUGAUCCAGCCAGACCGCGUGGGUGAAGAAGGCCUUCGGGUUGUAAAGCCCUUUUGUUGGGAAAGAAAAGCAGCAGGUUAAUACCCCGCUGUUCUGACGGUACCCAAAGAAUAAGCACCGGCUAACUUCGUG